rnacentral:misc_RNA from 1 species
GGAUGAUCCUUUUUCAAGAUUCCAGUGGGUUUAUUUUCUCUAUAUUCAUAAGCAACCCAAAAUCAAUGAGUGAAAGGAAUGUAGGCAUCCUUUGAUGGGCUUCCACUAAUAGCCUUGGAUAUCUUUGCAACAUCCAUUGCAUCUAUAAAAACAAAAAUAUUUGAGAAAGGACAUGUUUAUAGCAUUACUUUUGUUGAUUAGUGUAAGCUAUGUUUGUGUUGCUACUGAAAUUUUUCUCUGAAUAUUAGAGUAUGCCUAGAGUUAUUUGACCCUGUUCUUACUCCUUUUUAUAUGUUGCUUGGUUUCUCUGUUCCUGUGGGAAGGAGGUGACUAAGAGCUUAACUAUUUUAUUCCACAACACUCCCCCAUCCCCUCUCUUUCGUUUCUUUUUUAUCAUUUUGCUUACUAGUUAAAGCAUCGUGCUACUCAUGCAAGAUGUCUGCUAGUAUACUCUUACAAUUUAUGUUCUAGAUUCUAUAAUGUCUAUUGUAGGCUAUGGUCUUGUGAGGAUCUAGUCCUGAAGAGAUUUUGAUGAGGUUGUUUGAUCCUUCGUUCACUACUCACUAGUCCUAUUAGAUGUUAGUACCUUUUGCUUGUGCAUACCACGUUGUGAAUUAUUUGUUUCUUUCCAUUCAGUGGAUUGUGUGGAAGGAGAGAGAUGAGUAUACAUAGGUAGCAAGGGAAAUAUCAUCUUUACAUUUUUGUAGAGGGGCAUGAUAAUCAUAUGCUUUUUUUUUAGGUCAUUUUUUUAGCACUCUAUUGAUUAUUGACUAUCAUGCUGUUUAUGGAUGACAUGUGAAGGCCAAAUGCCGCUUAAUGACAUGAAAGGAAAAAUAAUAAAUAAAUAAAAAUAAACUUGGCAUUUGGUAUCAAGAUUUUAUAUUAGUAUACUUUCUUCAUUGAUCAAACUGACCACAUUUUUCAUCAUAAAGCUUUAAACUUGACAGAGAGCCAAUGUGACAAUAUACUUCCAUUAAGCGCAUAGUGUAAACUAUGAUAUUACAUUUGUCAUAGGCAAAUGUUAGUGUAUGUUAUAUUUGGUGGAAUUUGCACAUGGUUAUUGUUGUGCUUGUCAUCUGCAAUUCUGAUAAGCUGUUGUUAAUCUUUGUAUUGAAAUCUAUCUUUAUGCUUUGUUGUUCAAGCUUGGCUGAUUUCCUUUAUGAUGAUUGUAGUGAUUGCAUCACAGAACAGACUUUAUACCAAGUCAUGCAUUGCAAUUUUAUAGAUUAGCUUCUUAAGGGCUUGCUGUAUUGCAUUUUUGUUUCAUUUAUUUUAUUGUGAAGUCAUCUGUUGAGUUAUUGAAUUAUGUGAUAACAUCAGUUGUAUAGUUAAGAUUUUGCAAUGUGAAUUAUGUGAUUCAGGUGAGACGAUAUUUUGAAUAUGGCAAUUCAAAUGGAACUGUGAAUGAAAUAUGGCGUGAAGUUGUGCAGAAGCUACCUCUCAUAAGACUAAUGAUUAAUCGUGACAAAAGGCUUGUCAAGAGGGAGUCGAGUGAACCAGAUUGUUCUUGUUUAUGUACAAAUCAAACUGGGCUUACCAGCUUCCUGUGAUCCCUACUUUGUCUGUGAUUUGGGAAUUUGGUACUUGCAGAUCUUAGUACACUCUCCAUAUAUCUAUGUAAGAGAAGACACUUUCCUGGGAAUCGAAGAACCAGAAAUUAUUGCAUAGUUCUCAUUUAGUCCAAGUCAGGAGGUGCUCUGGCCCCUUCAGUAGGUGGGUUUUAGCCACUCACCUAGUGAUGAAAUCGUCUCUACAAUGUUUUCUUGCAUACUUUCUUGUUGUAGAUUUCUCCUUUUUUAUCCUUUAGCUUGCUUAUUUUGUAUGCUGUAAUAUAAAGCACAUAAUUUAGCAGCUGCAAAAUUCAACUGCUGUUGUCGUUUUAAUUCAUUUGUACAUGUUAGAAAAAUAAAAUUAUUUGAGUUAUAAUUAAUUCUUU